rnacentral:lncRNA from 1 species
AUCAGUACAAACCCAACUUCUGCACAUAGGUACAGUGUUGAUCCCUCGAUACAAUCUUGGACAAUACAUCAGCAGGAAUUUCAUUACCUGGCAUAUAGGACACCGUUACGAGUCCCUUCUGAAUACACUCCCUAGCAUGCUGCAACUUUAAUUGCAAGUGUUUUGUGCUUUGCUUACAACCUUCAGACUUCAGCAAAGCCAAACAUGCUUUGUUGUCCUGGUAAACCUGGAUUGGACAUUUGACAGGAAUUUUCAUAUCUUUGCACAAUUGUACUAACCAUUCACAAUCCUUAAGUGAAUAAGACAGUGCAUUCAGUUCAGCUUCACAAGUACUUAAGCUAACUGUUGUUUGCUUCUUGCAUGACCAAUCAAACAGACUCUGAUUGUACAUGUAGCAAACUCCAGACGUACUUUUCCUGUCUGUAGCGUCACUUCCAAAACUUGCAUCUGCAAAUAUCUCAAGACCACCAGACUUCUGAUUGUUAAAUCUCAGUCUGUAAUGCAUAGUGCCUUUCAAAUACCGCGCUAUGCGUUUCAGAGCUUUCCAAUCCUUGACACUAGGAUUGUUGACUUGUCUGCUUAGCAAAUUACAGCUAACAGCAAUGUCUGGUCUUGAACAUCUGGCAAUGAAGUUUAGCUUGCCUAGCACACUCCUGUACAGUGUAGUGUCAGAAAAUGCUUCUUCAGUGUCAUCUACCUGAUAACCUGUUGUCAUCGGUGUGUCUACAGGGUUAGCAUCCAUCAGAUUUAGUUUGCUUAACACAUCAGCAAUUUUCCGUGACUGGUGUACUAGAAUGUUACCAUCUUGAUCUCUCUCUAUUUCCAGAGAUAGGUAGUUGUUUACCUCACCAAGAUCUUUCAUGUCAAAGUGCUCUUUCAGUUGAGCUAGGGCGCUAUUGUACAUUGCAACAUCUUUCCAAAAGAAUAAUAAAUCAUCAACAUAAAACAAACAGUACAGUUUCUUUUGCCCCUCCUCUUUGACAAAUACACAUGGAUCAGCUUUCCCUUGCUGAAAACCUAGAGAAAACAAUACUUCAGUGAGUUUUGUGUGCCAACACCGUGCACUUUGUUUGAGACCAUAAAGGGAUUUCUUCAGAGCACAAACAAAUCCCUGUUUUACCUGUACGCCAUUAGGUGGAAGCAUAUAAAGUGAUUCAUCUAGAGAUCCGUACAGAAAAGCUGUAUUAAUAUCAUGGUGACUAAUGUGUAGAUUUUCUUCUGCAGCUAGCUUGAGCAUAAGCCUAAUGCUUUCAUAUCUCACUGUGGGUGAAUAGGUCUCGUGAUAGUCUUCACCUGGUACCUGUGCAAAACCUCUGGCUACCAAUCUGGCUUUGUGUCUGACUAUCUUGCCAUUUUGAUCUGUCUUCGCUUUGAAGACCCAUUUGCUUCCAAGCAGUUUCAUUCCUGGAACUACUGGAACUAGCUCCCAUGUUUUGUUCCUUUCUAAGGAAUCAAGCUCAGCCUUCAUGGCAUUUAACCAUGGCUCAGCUUCCUUCGAAUCCAAACCCUGGAUUUCUUGGAAACUUGAAGGUUCAAAUACCUUCUUGGAGCUUUUAACAGCUGUUACUGCUAUCUUAGCAAACUCAUCAGCAAAUCUCUUUGGAGGUUUGCCUUUUGUGGCUCUCUGUGACCUACGAAUUAGUCUUAAGUCUUCAACACUCUCCUCUUCCUUCUUAGGAGAAAAACGACCUAUUGUGAACAAUGGUUCCUCCAAUUCUUGAUCAGAGCUUUCAGAGGGUCGCAUAGAGGCUUUCGCACUCUUGAAAUCCUCUGAAUCACCCGAUUCAGUUUCAGAUUCAGACUCAGAACCUUCAUCAGUGGGUGUGGGUUGUUGUGGUUGCUUUUGACUAUCCUCAGUCUCAUCACCGUCAUCAGGAUAACAUUGGAAAAUUCCCACAUUCUCCCCCCACUUUGCAUUGUACUCAACACUUCUCGUGAGCUUAAUUGUCUUAGAGUCAGUCAUCAUUAUUCUGUAAGACCCUUUCUGAUAACCUAGAAAGAUACCAUGCAAUCCACGCUUGUCUAACUUGGAGUUUUGUGGUGAGCGAACCCACAUGUCAGAACCAAAAAUCUUCAUGUGUUUGAUGUAUGGCUUCUUGCCAAACAUCUUCUCAUAGAGGUACAACCAAUCGCUGAAGAUAACCUGCGAUUGUAACUGUAAACAAAACACGAGAGAGAUUCGGCCCAAUAACUCUCUGGAAGAUUGGCAUCAUGCAGCAAGGUUUUUAACCCUUGAAGCAAUGUCUGAUUUGCCCGUUCCGCAAGUCCAUUCUGCCAUGGCGAGCGAGGACUAGACAAAUCGUGUUGAAUUCCUUUCUCAGUCAGAAAAGCUUCAAACUGCUGAGAAGUGAAUUCCCCCCCGCGAUCACUGAAAAGAGUCUUUAUCUUCUUACCAUGCACAUUUUCCAACCAAGCACAGAAUUCCUUGAACCUAGGAAAAGCCUCCGAUUUCUGCUUGAGAUUGUACACAUAAAUAUAUCUAGAAAAUGCAUCAAUGAGAACCAUGAAGUAUCUAUUUCCACCCAAAGAGGGCGCUAGUGGUCCAACCAAAUCAGCAUGAACAACCUGGUAUGGUUCUGUAGCUGUCCUACUAGACACCUUACCUUUCGCAGCCAUUUUCACCUUGUUUGCUGCGCAUGCUUUGCACUUCAUGUGGUACCUGCAGGGUUUAAUAGUCAUACCUUCAACCAAGGCAGGCAUUUUAGAUACUGCCUCAAAAUGCAAAUGACCAAAUUUUCGAUGAAAAUCGUGAAUACAUUCUGCAUGCAAACUUUUGUUAGAACCUGCAAUGCAACAAGUGUCAUCCUGCACCACAUCAUCAUAAUACAAAACAAACAAAUGAUCAACAUAUUCUGCAUGCAAUACAUAAUCAUUUUUCUUUGUGAUGAUGCACUUCUUGUUCUUGAAGGAAACGUCAAUGUUCCGCUCAUUCAGCUGUCCAACGCUGAGCAGAUUAUGUUUGGCGUCUGGCACGUAAAGCACAUUCUGUAUCGAUAAGUCCAAACUGUGAAGAACAACAGUUCCGUAGCCUUUACUGGGAAUAGUGUGGUCAUCCGCCUGGUGAAUCGCACCUUCCUGCGGUGUAAAAGACACAAACAGUCUCUUAUCGUUGCACAUGUGGUGGGUGGCCGCUGAAUCAACAACGAAGAAAGAUCUAGACGUCUUCUGGACCUCUGCAACCUUUGGAGUGAAGCGUGAAACCAUAGCCUUGUGCUGCGUUGUCCUAGACACCGGACCUUUGCCUUUGCCUCGGCCUUUUCCGCGUGAUGAGCUUUCGCUGCGCUGCUCUGUCUUGGCCCUGGGAUGUCUGCAUUCCCUCUUCAUAUGGCCUAGACGUCCACACGAGUAGCAUUUCACUGCCUUCAAAGCUUUGGCGCCAUCUGGUGGUUCCACUGCACUAUGGGAUGACGUCUGUGAAGACUCCCCUUGCCCAUGCAGCUAGCACCCCGGCGAUCUGCUUCAUUUAAAAUCACGGCAGUAACAAAGUCCACUGUCAGCUGAGCAGUUGGUUGCACAGCAAUCUGGGUUGCAACAGACUCCCAACCUGAACCCAAAGAUUGUAGUAUCAUGAAAGAAUACACAGCCUCUGGAAAGUUGAGUCCUCUCUGUUGCAGCUCAUGUCUCAGAUUUUGCAUCUCCAUCAGAUGUAAACGCACAUCUCCACCUUCAGCAAGAGCCAUAUUGUGCAGCUUGUUAAAGUAAAACAUAGUGGAUCCAGCUUCUGUCCUUAAGUGAGCCUCUCUCAAAGCGUCCCAAAUUUCUCUGGCUGAGGUCUUAUCACGCAAUAGACAGAGCUCUUCUGGGGAUACUAUCAAUGUAAGAGUUCCCCUUGCUUUGGAAUCCUUAGCUUUCCAUGCAUCUGUAACUGGAACUGGGGGGGUUUCUGUAAUCACCUCAAACAAACCCUCUUUCCGCAGAAUUGCCUCUGCAUACUGAACCCAGUCGCUGUAAUUUUUCUUGUUGAGCUUAGGAGUCCCACAAGCAUCCUGAAGGGCCAUCAUGACUCUGGCAUUAGCCUUCAGCGUCAUAUGCUGCUUUAAAUCUUGCUGCGUCACUGCUGCAGCUGCCUUAUUACAAAGGCGCACUUAAAAGUUACUUUCGAUUUCCCCAGCAUAGUGACUUGUGCCUGGGAGCCUUUGCCUAUUCCCGGCAAAACCGGCUUUAAAAGUUCAAAGUCCAGCCAUAAAGCCAUUAACUUGAAGCUGGCAGGCUGCCCGGAGCAGUAGCACAUACCUCAUCAAUCACUUCUACGCGCAGAGCAGAUUCCUUUCCGAUCCGUCCCUCUGCAUUCCGAUCCUCUGCCGGCACUCUGAUUCGACUUCUGGAGCCCAUAACCACGUGUUGAUUAAAGCAGAGUCUCGUGGCCAGCGGAAGGAUGAGUAAUACGUGCUGCAUACUCUAUAUUGCUUUAUUUACAGUUCAAAGCUGGUAUAUUACAGAAAGACAUCUUGCCUCUGCCGGAGCAGAGAAAUGCAUCCUCUCUCCUCAACAGCUCGGAGAGAAUCACA